rnacentral:rRNA from 1 species
UACGUAGGGAGCGAGCGUUGUCCGGAUUUAUUGGGCGUAAAGAGCUCGUAGGCGGCUUGGUAAGUCGGAUGUGAAAUCUCCAUGCUUAACGUGGAGCGGCCAUCUGAUACUGCUAUGGCUUGAGUCCGGUAGGGGCCCACGGAAUUCCUGGUGUAGCGGUGAAAUGCGCAGAUAUCAGGAGGAGCACCGGUGGCGAAGGCGGUGGGCUGGGCCGGUACUGACGCUGAGGAGCGAAAGCGUGGGGAGCGAACAGG